UGUUCGGUGGGAGAUGGAGAGAGAAGACGCUGGGGAGAACCGGUCAUAGCAUUCGAUCCAGUGGUAGACCAGCUCGUUCGAGAUGGAUUGGGAGCAACGCUCGGAGAUGGUGUGUGCUUUCACGCUGACCAAAUGCCCAGCGCCUUCAGAUGGACUUUUAAUGUUGAGUCGAUGGAGAAGUGUGUCCUAUGUUCUGAUUUCCUGCUCUAACAGAUUGACAGCAAUUUCCUGAUGGUGAAUAGAAACAUAUCCUAGAAAGAAAACCAGCUUUUUCCAAGAAAUGAUGCCACUGAAACAACAAUGGAGGCUGAUGCAGAGCUCUCAGUAUCCAAUAACAAAGGACGGCUGGGAUAGCAACAGUAAUAAACAACUUCGCCCAUCAGACCAGACCUGCUUCAGAUGGACUUUUAAUGUUGAGUCGAUGGAGAAGUGUGUCCUAUGUUCUGAUUUCCUGCUCUAACAGAUUGACAGCAAUUUCCUGAUGGUGAAUAGAAACGUAUCCUAGAAAGAAAACCAGAUUUUUCCAAGAAAUGAUGCCACUGAAACAACAAUGGAGGCUGAUGCAGAGCUCUCAGUAUCCAAUAACAAAGGACGGCUGGGAUAGCAACAGUAAUAAACAACUUCGCCCAUCA